UGCUGUCUGAAUCUACUUCAUAAUUAGGACAUAAGCCCUACAGUAUCAUAAAAACUGAAAUUGUUUCCCGGCAGAUCCUACGUACAUGAUCCGUGCUAUUCCGAGUAAUGCCUCUGACAAUGUGUAUUGCACACUCCUUGCUCAAAGCUGUGUACAUGGAGCAAUGGCAGGGUACACUGGUUACACAAGUGGGCUGGUCAAUGGGAGACAGACAUACAUUCCUUUCAAUGUAAGGCUCUGAUUUAAGAACCCAUAUAUAUGUAUGUAUGUUGUUGACUCUGUAAAUUUAAUGGCUCUCCUUUAAGUUUUAAUGCAACAUAACUGUGAAGCCUUAUUACUUUGUCAGGCAUAGUCAAUUAAUAAAUCUAUGUGACUGUGCUGACCAUUUUUCCCUUAUAUGAAACGUUUAUUGGAUAAGAAAAUAUACAUUAUACACUUCCUCAUUCGUUGACCUUAAAAGUAAUGUGGACAAAACCCGAAGAUAAGAUUACUGUGUAAACUUACCUAUAGAACCUUUUAACUCCCCCCGCCCCCACCCCACCCCACCCACACACACAGAAGUGGACCGAGCAAAUAUCAUUAUCAUCAAAAGCACUAGAUCACAUGAAUCGGAUAUACAAGUUAAAGUUCACAAGUUCAUUAGUCAAGUUUUAAUCUUGUAUGCCUAUAUGCACAUUCUGUAAUAUACUUUGUAAUCAUGUGUAGUUUAUCAUUUAAAGAUAGAUGGAAUGAAGUAUAUGUAUAAUUUUGCAACUGUAAGUGUCUGUUACCAGGAGUCAACAAAUGUACAUCACAUGUCUUUCUUUAAACAACUACUAUCGUUUUAUUGCUAAAAGGUUGUUCUCUAACUUGCAAAAAUUUUCCUUAAGACCUUGCCCAUACGCUGUGUAGUAUUGUUCAGUUUUCAAUUGUAAUCAAUUUGCCCAAUAUUGUUAUAGAGAUAGCCAACAUGUAAACGAGUUGCUAUUUAAUGGAUAACAUGUAAUCUAAAGUAUUAUGAUGUUUAAUGACAAUUCUGCUCCAACUUUCUUGCUACACAUGUAACUAAUUUUCACAAGUUGCUUCAAUUAAUAUAGGUGUAAGAUUGUUUUUUCUUUCUUGUAGACCCUUAUGUUGUGUUUGGUUGGGGUGAAUGAUUCCGGAAGGAAUGCCUUCAAUUUGAGAUGGAAUGCUCCAUACUCUCCUAUGCUCAAUUUCUUCUCAAAUCUCAUCAUAGCAAUUUUGCACUCCCUCAAAUUUUUUCCAAAACUUUCUUCCUAUCUCUAUUAGUUUCAAGUAUUUUUACUCAUUCCAUUCUCCCCAACCAAACUCAACAUUACUCUUUCCUGUGUCACAUUUCUUUCUUUAGUUGUCAGGAAAGGGGAAAGGUAGUAAAUAGGAGUGACAAAAUUUGCGUAGUUUUUUUUUUUAAUUUUUACAAUCAGCAUUGCCAGAUUUGUAAUCAGAUAGUGCAUGUGCAGCGUAUCACCGAGAUGCAGAAUAAGGUUGUAAUAACUGACAGGAUGUGGGCAAGACUUCUUUCUUCAACAAACCAGCCAAGUUUUUUGGGACCAAAAGAUGCAGUUGAGGUGAAGAAUGAACCAGCACCAUCCAGCCAAUUGUUGGAAAGCGAAAACUGUAAUUGUGAGGACAAGGCAGCCAAGUAGAGACAACCAGCAUGCACGAAAUUAUAACAAGCACUUCAGACAGCUAGUUUAAAUCUCAGCAAGUGCAAUUGAUUAUUUGUAACAUAGGUCUCUUCAAGAUUUCUUUAUUAUAAGAUGGGGCUGCUGCCAUCAUUUAUAUUUCCAUGGUGAAUGUUAACUAGGAUCUCUUAUCUUUUUAAAAAGCAACCAAGGAAAAAGAGUGUUUUUGGUGUAUGAUAUAUUAGAUCUAUUACAACUUCUUUAUAUAUUGAAAAGCAACAAAGGCUAUAUAAAAAGCAACCAGGCAAAAGAGUUGAGAAAUUAUAGUAUCAAAUAUGUCCCGGUUACUACAAAAUUAAAAGAUAUUAUUGGUUUAUUUAUUAUUUGAAUAUAUUAUAUAUCAUUAUUAGUUUACAUGAUAAAUAGAUACUUAAUUGUACUUGUCACCUCAAGUUGACUGUACUUGGUUUUGUUUACAAAAUUAUUAUUUAACUAAUUCAUUCACUAAUCAAUUCACAUAAUAAUAUCUACGUGAAUUAAAUUUGCCAAUCAAAGUAUAAUCUCAUCAUUUUUUCAAAAAAUAAAUUAUAAUAUAUAGGGAGAUGAUCAAAUACAAACCUAAAAGCUAAAAACAAUCCAUAAUUAUGUAAAUAUAUUCACUAAAUAUUUAAUAUAAAAUACCUUCUGUUUUACAACUCCAAUCUGAUAGCACCUCACGUCUAGCUAACCACUCACCCAUGCUACUCAUCGACCCAUGAUGCCGCCGCGCCAGCCACCUCACUACAGCCACCAACAACACCACACUCUCCCCGCUCACGUUUAGCUGUAACCGCUCACCCACGCUACUCAUCAGCCCAUAUUGCUGCCAACCACCAAUAUUAACACCACGCUGUCCCCGCCACUUUUUCUUUUCCGCUGUCUUCCUUAUUCCCUUCUCUAAAAUUUCAAAACUCCAAACCCCUCUCGCAGCUAAGCACCCAGAUUGAUUAGCAUCCAGAUAAAUCGUCCAAUUUGCUCGAAGCUUUUGUCUCGAAAUUCGCGUUCAGCAUAGUAGUGGUAAUCAAAGAUGAUGACAGUGAUCGAGAAAGACGGAGGUGAGACGGGGAGUGGAUAAAACUGAAUAAUUAUUAAAUAGAUAUUUUGGAGACGGCAGAGGUGCAGACGAUGCAGGAUGGAGCGAUGGAGGUGGGAUGGAUUUGUUGGUGAUAGAGAUGGUGAAAAUGGACAUGGAGGGAUGUCGGACGUGGAAUUGCCGAAAUUGGAGGAUGUAUGAAUAUUUUAUCUAGAAUUUAAUGAUAUCUUAUUUGGGUUUUAUAGUUUGUAAAAUAAGAAAAAUUAUAGCAGAAUAAGAUUACAUAAUUUAGAAUUUGACGAGUUUAUUGUAAAUUGUGAUCUGAUGUGACAAUCUAU
rnacentral:lncRNA from 1 species